AUCUCCCGCAGCUCACACUCCACCACCGUACAGGACGCUGAGCCGUCGCAGCUCUGAGGGGGAUGGAUGUGUGGACCUUACCUUGGGAGAUGGCUGUGUGGAGCAAAGGAGACCUCCCUGCGGCUGCACAUCCAGGAUGUAGAGCAGAUCCGAGGGCUGGGACUGGCCAGGAAUGUGGAUGAGAAGUCUGAGGCCAUUCACAGUGCCAGGGCCAAUGUUGUGGAGCUGGGGGUGGAGAUAGCG
rnacentral:lncRNA from 1 species